UGUUCCUCCAUUCCAUACAUUCCUCAACAGGAAAUUCUCUUACAAGCUAAAAGCUGAGAAUUCUUUUUCAACCUGUCCUGAAGAGAGUAGUUUAGAAAUCAGACUCUCCAGUGAGAUGUUCUGGGUGAACAGAGAACGUUGCUACCAGCUAUCUGUGUGACUUUGGAGAAUCCCUGGUGGGAGAAUGAGUGUCAGCAUUUCAGCAUCGAUACCACAUGCCAAACUCCAACAGUAGGAGAGAAGGGAACCGAUCAAUGACUCUUGUGCUCCUGGAAACCACCUUCUGGUUGGGUUCCUGAAAUAUUCUUGACAUAUAUAAUAACCCCCUCAAAAGACUGCUGGCAAUGGUCGCGAGACGGCAGGAACUGACCUACUCUGGUGAUGGGAUGGACAGACACCCAGAUAGUG